GGAUGUAACACGCAGGUGAACGGAGACGGGAGCUUGCUCCUGGUGGCUAGUGGCGAACGGGUGAGUAAUGCGUCGGAACGUGCCGAGUAAUGGGGGAUAACGCAGCGAAAGUUGUGCUAAUACCGCAUACGCCCUGAGGGGGAAAGUGGGGGAUCGCAAGACCUCACGUUAUUCGAGCGGCCGACGUCUGAUUAGCUAGUUGGUGGGGUAAAGGCCCACCAAGGCGACGAUCAGUAGCGGGUCUGAGAGGAUGAUCCGCCACACUGGGACUGAGACACGGCCCAGACUCCUACGGGAGGCAGCAGUGGGGAAUUUUGGACAAUGGGGGCAACCCUGAUCCAGCCAUUCCGCGUGAGUGAAGAAGGCCUUCGGGUUGUAAAGCUCUUUCAGCUGGAGUGAAACGGUGCGCUCUAACAUAGCGCGCUAAUGACGGUACCAGCAGAAGAAGCACCGGCUAACUACGUGCCAGCAGCCGCGGUAAUACGUAGGGUGCGAGCGUUAAUCGGAAUUACUGGGCGUAAAGCGUGCGCAGGCGGAUUGUUAAGCAAGAUGUGAAAUCCCCGGGCUUAACCUGGGAAUGGCAUUUUGAACUGGCAGUCUAGAGUGCGUCAGAGGGGGGUGGAAUUCCACGUGUAGCAGUGAAAUGCGUAGAGAUGUGGAGGAACACCGAUGGCGAAGGCAGCCCCCUGGGAUGACACUGACGCUCAUGUACGAAAGCGUGGGUAGCAAACAGGAUUAGAUACCCUGGUAGUCCACGCCCUAAACGAUGUCAACUGGUUGUUGGGGGAGUGAAAUCCCUUAGUAACGAAGCUAACGCGUGAAGUUGACCGCCUGGGGAGUACGGUCGCAAGAUUAAACUCAAAGGAAUGACGGGGACCCGCACAAGCGGUGGAUGAUGUGGAUUAAUUCGAUGCAACGCGAAAAACCGUACCUACCCUGACAUGCCAAGAACCCGAAGAGAUUUGGGGGCCUAGAAGGAGUGACACAGGCNCAAUAAGCUCAGCGUCA
rnacentral:rRNA from 1 species